rnacentral:lncRNA from 1 species
AUGUUACCUCAGUUGGAUGUUCUGGUUGAUAAAUUAAUAACAAGAUUAUUUUGCUACUUAUUUGCUGUUGCUGGAAUCAGUUUCUAUGUGUGGCUUUUACUCAGGCCACUGAUUUCAGAGAAACACAAAGAAGAAAACUUGUGUACCAAGAAUUUACAGGAUCUGAUACAGGACCAGCACAGCAAGAAACCCAAGGAAGAAAGGAUUAAAACUGUACUGUGACAAAUCCUGGAAAUAACCAAGCAAUAUUAUCACAUUAAUGUUCGUUGGUGCAUUUGGGUAAUUCUGUUGUCUCUCUGGGGCCUUUCUGCAUUUUGCGGCGUGCGAAGAGCCCAACUUCAGCAGCUGCCCUGG